GCGCCCGUAGCUCAGUUGACAGAGCGGUCGAACGGUGAUAUACAGAUACAGUCCCGGGUUCAAGUCCCGGCGGUCGCU